rnacentral:rRNA from 1 species
GCUCAAAUUUGAAAUCUUAAAGGGUUUCCCUUUACGAAUUGUAGUUUAAAGAAGUGUUUUCUGUUGAGGUUUUGGUAAAAGUUCUUUGGAAUAGGACAUCAUAGAGGGUGAGAAUCCCGUAUUUGACCUUUACUUUCAACUUUGUGAUACACUUUCAAAGAGUCGGAUUGUUUGGGAAUGCAGUCCAAAAUGGGUGGUAAAUUUCAUAUAAAGCUAAAUAUUGGCGAGAGACCGAUAGCGAACAAGUACCGUGAGGGAAAGAUGAAAAGAACUUUGAAAAGAGAGUUAAACAGUACGUGAAAUUGUCAAAAGGGAAGCGUUUGACACCAGUGUUGUUUUUCUGAAAAUCAAUUAAAGAACUGUUUAUGCUAAGCUGUUUAGACUUUAUCAGCUAUCUGUUUAGUUUUGAGCUUUUCUUUAAUGCACUUUUCAGUUAACAAG